rnacentral:lncRNA from 1 species
UGAGGGGACCUCAAGUAAGCUCCAUUUUUGAAACAUGAGUCAAAGCCCCGGUGAAGAUUCUGUGACGGUUCAUUGUAUAAUUUAUGAUGAUGAAGAUUGAGUUGCAUUUUGCGGAAAAGAGAUGUUGAGAUAUCUAAGGCAUUGAGAAAUCUGUCAUGCAGACAUGCACACAGGGAGAGGGAGUACCCAAACUGAUGAGAACUUACAGGAAUUGGACCAUCUAAGCCCUUAGAAAGUGAAGUCCACUGUGUCUCAAACAAAGGUAUAUGAUUCGGUGUUUGCCCUGCUGUGUUUCUUGCCUUGCUCCAAUCUCCCCUCCCUAUGUGCAGAUGCCUAUCUAUUGGAAUUGGAAGGGGUAUUCUGUGCCAUUGUAUGCCUGAAAGAUAUAACUUGUGUUCUGAUUAUAAAAGAAGUGGCAAUCAAGUCAUUUCCCUGAGUGUCAAAAGAGGCUUUGAACAUUUCAACAGUGUAGGAGCUUCUACAGACUAUUGGAGUCAUUAAAGUUCCACUGAAUGCAUUUUCAUCACAGGGGGAAUAUGAGCCUCUAGUGCCUAGGGUCAGAAUGGAGUUUAUUGAAAGAAAAUGUUCCUAGAAAAGUUGAUGUCUGUGAAUCCUUGUCUGUCCAUCUUGGCUUUCUUUGGGGAGCUUACAGAUGCUCUUUUAGGAGGAGCCUUUCCAGAUUUUUUUUAUUAGGGGAUAGGGUUUGUUUGUCUGUAGACUCAACAAAUUUCUUUCUUUUUCAUUUCUUCAAUAAUUUAUAUAUUUAUUAUCUUGGGAGUCACUUUCCCACUCCAGGUCACCCCCUUCAUAGAGUCCCUGUCCCCAAUCCUCUCUGAUUCUCCUUUGAGUGGCUGUGUGCCCUCCUGUUUGUCCCCCAAUCAUGGCUCAGUAAGUGUCUGUCCCAAUAGGUGUGUCCUCUCUCAUUAAAGCCAGACAGGACAGUGUCCUUAAGGGAACAGAUUCUAAAGAUAGUCAAGAGCUUUAGGGACAGCCUGUACUCCAGUUGUUGGGAGACCCACAUGAAGUCUGAGCUGCAUAUCUGCUACGUAUGUGCCAGGAACCUUAGUCCAGUCUUUAGUGGGUGGCUCAGCUUCUGAGUGUCCCCAGAAGCUACUCAUCCUAGGCAUGUGUAGUGAGUCCAGACUAAUGAGUCUGUUAUUCUUCCUGGGGAGUUCCUACCCCAUUAAGGCUCUUCAGUCCUUCCCUGCACUUUCAUAAGAGUCCCCAAGGUUUGUUUGAUAUUUGGCUAUGACUUCUGUUCUUUGUGGCUACUGUGUCGUGGUUGAAACUGGUCAUUCAGCUUUCUUCUCAUGCUCUCAUAAAUUCACCAUUUGGACUCUGUCCCUAAAUCACCUAGGAUACUGUAGAAGCAUUUCCUGAUCAAUACUAAGCCAUUUUGCAAGCUUGGUUCAUUUUUUAUUUUUAAUUUUAUCUCUUUUGUUUUUGUUUUUCAAGACAAAAGUUUCUCUGUGUAGCCUUUCUUCUUCUGAAGGGGACUACCUAUGGGCCAACAUGCUUGCAUGAUUUUGUUUUUAUAUUAUUACCUUAUAUGCUUUGAAUGUAAGUUUUUGUACAUGCAAGCAUAUGCUGUUGUGCAGAUCUUCAUCCACAUCUUGAAGUUUGAAGUUUGGCCAAGAAUAUACAAAA